rnacentral:rRNA from 1 species
GAUAAACGCUGGCGGCGCACAUAAGACAUGCAAGUCGAACGAACUUAAUCGUUAGUUUACUAAUGAAGCGGUUAGUGGCGGACUGGUGAGUAACACGUAAGCAACCUGCCUAUUAGAGGGGAACAACAGUUAGAAAUGACUGCUAAUACCGCAUAUGCCAUAAGUAUCGCAUGAUACAAGUGGGAAAGGAGCAAUCCGCUAAUAGAUGGGCUUGCGUCUGAUUAGAUAGUUGGUGGGGUAACGGCCUACCAAGUCGACGAUCAGUAGCCGAGUUGAGAGACUCUACGGCCACAUUGGGACUGAGAUACGGCCCAGACUCCUACGGGAGGCAGCAGUCGGGAAUAUUGCGCAAUGGAGGAAACUCUGACGCAGUGACGCCGCGUGCAGGAAGAAGGUUUUCGGAUUGUAAACUGCUUUAGACAGGGAAGAAAAAGACAGUACCUGUAGAAUAAGCUCCGGCUAACUACGUGCCAGCAGCCGCGGUAAUACGUAGGGAGCAAGCGUUAUCCGGAUUUAUUGGGUGUAAAGGGUGCGUAGACGGGAAAAUAAGUUAGUUGUGAAAUCCCCAUGCUUAACAUGGGAACUGCAACUAAAACUGUUUUUCUUGAGUGCUGGAGAGGAAAGUGGAAUUCCUAGUGUAGCGGUGAAAUGCGUAGAUAUUAGGAGGAACACCAGUGGCGAAGGCGACUUUCUGGACAGUAACUGACGUUGAGGCACGAAAGUGUGGGGAGCAAACAGGAUUAGAUACCCUGGUAGUCCACACCGUAAACGAUGG